rnacentral:rRNA from 1 species
UACAGAGGUCUCAACCGUUGUUCGGAUUCAUUGGGCGUAAAGGGUGCGUAGGCGGUCGCGCAAGUCGGAUGUGAAAUCUCGGGGCUCAACCCCCGAAACUGCAUUCGAUACUGCGUGGCUCGAGUACUGGAGAGGAGACUGGAAUUUACGGUGUAGCAGUGAAAUGCGUAGAUAUCGUAAGGAAGACCAGUGGCGAAGGCGAGUCUCUGGACAGUUACUGACGCUGAGGCACGAAGGCCAGGGGAGCAAACGGGG